AACGAACGCUGGCGGCAUGCCUAACACAUGCAAGUCGAACGAGACCUUCGGGUCUAGUGGCGCACGGGUGCGUAACACGUGGGAAUCUGCCCUUUGCUUCGGAAUAACAGUUAGAAAUGACUGCUAAUACCGGAUGAUGUCGAAAGACCAAAGAUUUAUCGGCAAAGGAUGAGCCCGCGUAGGAUUAGGUAGUUGGUGGGGUAAAGGCCUACCAAGCCGACGAUCCUUAGCUGGUCUGAGAGGAUGAUCAGCCACACUGGGACUGAGACACGGCCCAGACUCCUACGGGAGGCAGCAGUGGGGAAUAUUGGACAAUGGGCGAAAGCCUGAUCCAGCAAUGCCGCGUGAGUGAUGAAGGCCUUAGGGUUGUAAAGCCCUUUUACCAGGGAUGAUAAUGACAGUACCUGGAGAAUAAGCUCCGGCUAACUCCGUG
rnacentral:rRNA from 1 species